rnacentral:rRNA from 1 species
UACGAGGGGUGCAAGCGUUAUUCGGAUUUACUGGGCGUAAAGGGUGUGUAGACGGUUUACUAAGUCUGUUGUUAAAUACUCUGGCUUAACUGGAGAUCACAGUGGAAACUAGUAGACUAGAGGGUGGAAGAGAGAAGUGGAAUUCCCGGAGUAGCGGUAAAAUGCGUAGAUCUCGGGAGGAACACCGAUGGCGAAGGCAGCUUCUUGGUCCAUACCUGACGUUGAGGCACGAAAGCGUGGGGAGCAAACAGG